rnacentral:rRNA from 1 species
GAUGAACGCUGGCGGCGUGCCUAAUACAUGCAAGUCGAGCGAACAGACGAUGAGCUUGCUCCUCUGACGUUAGCGGCGGACGGGUGAGUAACACGUGGAUAACAUACCUAUAAGACUGGGAUAACUUCGGGAAACCGGAGCUAAUACCGGAUAAUAUAUUGAACCGCAUGGUUCAAUAGUGAAAGACGAUUUUGCUGUCACUUAUAAAUGGAUCCGCGCCGCAUUAGCUAGUUGGUAAGGUAACGGCUUACCAAGGCGACGAUGCGUAGCCGACCUGAGAGGGUGAUCGGCCACACUUGAACUGAGACACGGUCCAGACUCCUACGGGAGGCAGCAGUAGGGAAUCUUCCGCAAUGGGCGAAAGCCUGACGGAGCAACGCCGCGUGAGUGAUGAAGGUCUUCGGAUCGUAAAACUCUGUUAUUAGGGAAGAACAAAUGUGUAAGUAACUAUGCACGUCUUGACGGUACCUAAUCAGAAAGCCACGGCUAACUACGUG